GGUCUCGUGGUGUAGUGGUUAUCACGCCUGCUUCACACGCACGAGGUCGCCGGUUCGAUCCCGGCCGAGAUCA
rnacentral:tRNA from 1 species